UGGGGAAUAUUGCACAAUGGGCGCAAGCCUGAUGCAGCAACGCCGCGUGAACGAUGAAGGUCUUCGGAUCGUAAAGUUCUGUUGCAGGGGAAGAUAAUGACGGUACCCUGUGAGGAAGCCCCGGCUAACUACGUGCCAGCAGCCGCGGUAAUACGUAGGGGGCUAGCGUUAUCCGGAUUUACUGGGCGUAAAGGGUGCGUAGGUGGUCUUUCAAGUCGGUGGUUAAAGGCUACGGCUCAACCGUAGUUAGCCUCCGAAACUGGAAGACUUGAGUGCAGGAGAGAAAAGUGGAAUUCCUGGUGUAGCGGUGAAAUGCGUAGAGAUUAGGAGGAACACCGGUGGCGAAAGCGGCUUUUUGGCCUGCAACUGACACUGAGGCGCGAAAGCGUGGGGAGCAAACAGG
rnacentral:rRNA from 1 species